GAGGCUUUGAAGUGAGGACGCUAGUUCUCAUGGAGCCAACGUUGAAAUACCACCCUGGUGUGUUUGAGGUUCUAACCUAGGUCCAUUAUCUGGAUCGGGGACAGUGCAUGGUAGGCAGUUUGACUGGGGCGGUCUCCUCCCAAAGCGUAACGGAGGAGUUCGAAGGUACGCUAGUUACGGUCGGACAUCGUGACGAUAGUGCAAUGGCA
rnacentral:rRNA from 1 species